CACCUGGCGGCUGCUUACACAUGCAGUCGAACGGCAGCACGGGAGCAUCCUGGUGGCGAGUGGCGAACGGGUGAGUAAUAUAUCGGAACGUGCCCAGUCGUGGGGGAUAACGCAGCGAAAGCUGUGCUAAUACCGCAUACGAUCUACGGAUGAAAGCGGGGGAUCGCAAGACCUCGCGCGAUUGGAGCGGCCGAUAUCAGAUUAGCUAGUUGGUGGGGUAAAGGCCCACCAAGGCGACGAUCUGUAGCUGGUCUGAGAGGACGACCAGCCACACUGGAACUGAGACACGGUCCAGACUCCUACGGGAGGCAGCAGUGGGGAAUUUUGGACAAUGGGCGCAAGCCUGAUCCAGCAAUGCCGCGUGCAGGAUGAGGGCCUUCGGGUUGUAAACUGCUUUUGUACGGAACGAAACGGUGAGCUCUAAUAAAGUUUGCUAAUGACGGUACCGUAAGAAUAAGCACCGGCUAACUACGUGCCAGCAGCCGCGGUAAUACGUAGGGUGCGAGCGUUAAUCGGAAUUACUGGGCGUAAAGCGUGCGCAGGCGGUUAUGUAAGACAGAUGUGAAAUCCCCGGGCUCAACCUGGGACCUGCAUUUGUGACUG
rnacentral:rRNA from 1 species